rnacentral:rRNA from 1 species
UACGGGGGGGGUAAGCGUUGUUCGGAAUUACUGGGCGUAAAGGGCUCGUAGGCGGCCAACUAAGUCGGACGUGAAAUCCCUCAGCUUAACUGGGGAACUGCGUCCGAUACUGGAUGGCUUGGAUUUGGGAGAGGGAUGCGGAAUUCCAGGUGUAGCGGUGAAAUGCGUAGAUAUCUGGAGGAAUACCAGUGGCGAAGGCGGCAUCCUGGACCGACAUUGACGCUGAGGAGCGAAAGCUAGGGGAGCAAACGGG